rnacentral:rRNA from 1 species
UACGUAGGGUGCGAGCGUUGUCCGGAAUUACUGGGCGUAAAGAGCUCGUAGGUGGUUUGUCGCGUUGUCCGUGAAAACUCACAACUCAAUUGUGGGCGUGCGGGCGAUACGGGCAGACUGGAGUACUGCAGGGGAGACUGGAAUUCCUGGUGUAGCGGUGGAAUGCGCAGAUAUCAGGAGGAACACCGGGGGCGAAGGCGGGUCUCUGGGCAGUAACUGACGCGGAGGCGCGAAAGCGUGGGGAGUAAACAGG